rnacentral:rRNA from 1 species
GAUGAACGCUGGCGGCGUGCUUAACACAUGCAAGUCGAACGGUGAAAGAGGGAGCUUGCUCCUUCUGGAUCAGUGGCGAACGGGUGAGUAACACGUGAGUAACCUGCCCUUGACUCUGGGAUAAGCGUUGGAAACGACGUCUAAUACCGGAUACGAGCUUCAGCCGCAUGGCUAGGAGCUGGAAAGAACUUCGGUCAAGGAUGGACUCGCGGCCUAUCAGCUUGUUGGUGAGGUAAUGGCUCACCAAGGCGACGACGGGUAGCCGGCCUGGGAGGGUGACCGGCCACACUGGGACUGAGACACGGCCCAGACUCCUACGGGAGGCAGCAGUGGGGAAUAUUGCACAAUGGGCGCAAGCCUGAUGCAGCAACGCCGCGUGAGGGACGACGGCCUUCGGGUUGUAAACCUCUUUUAGUAGGGAAGAAGCGAAAGUGACGGUACCUGCAGAAAAAGCACCGGCUAACUACGUGCCAGCAGCCGCGGUAACAC